ensembl:lncRNA
GGGUCAUGUGACGCAGCCAUAGGCUUGUCUUUUGUCUGCCUCUACCAAUCCCACAGCCCAGAGUCCCGUCAUGUCCUACCCAGAGUGCCUCGCGCUGUGGCUUUCCAGAAUAGUCUCAACAACCAUACCCAUAACAUCCUCUCUCCUCACACCACGUAGUGGAGCGGUGCGUGGGUCGGCUACGGCCAGAUAGAGAUGUCUUUCGCCAAGAUAAGGAUUACGCCGUCGCAGCAGUCGAUCCUGCGGGCCUCCGAUGCGGCGGCAGCCUUCACCGCCGCCAUGGGGCCAGAAGCCGGGGGAGGUGGAGAAGGAGGCCCGAGCCCGCGUCAUCUCCGAGGGUGGUGACCCUGGGAACCCCAUGCUGGUGCUGGGCUGCCACAGCAUCCAGCUGGGCAAGUACCAGGGUCAGACCCUCAGAUGGCCCCUGGAGAACGACGUGGGCUACGCCUCUCUUGUGGUCGCCUGUCACCAGCGGGAUCGGGAGACGAGUGCCUCGGACAACCCGCUGAUGGCCAACAAGGACAGCCUCGCCCGGUAUUCCUGCGCCCAACCCGCUUUUGCUGAGCAUCUCUAUUUCCGCCGGGAGCAGGAGGAGGCCCGGCCUCGUGCCACUCUGCCCGGGCCGGGGGGCGAGGCGCUUGUUGGCUUCGGGCUGUUCAAGGAGGACACCCUGAAGGACCAGCGCCCUUCGGUUCCGCCGCCCCCCACAGAGGUGACGGACGAGGAGCUGGUCCGGAUGCUCACUGACGUUGAAAUGGGUAACUGGCACCACACUGGACGUGUCGCACUGUAACAUUUGCCUUCGAUAUCUAUUCUUUAAGUAUAUUUUCAUUUAUUCAUUGCAUUGUGGCAACUUCUAGCCUACAUUAUCAUUGUUAUUACUGUUAUGAUUAUCACUCAUUUUAUUGUUUUAUCUUUGGUUUUUACAGACUGGAUAAAGUAACUGAUAAAAUAGGCCAUUUGAGUAAUUCCGAAAGAGCAGUUAAACUCUUCCUGGCGUAAAUCCUCCUGGUAAACCUUGGUCCAGGACAGCGGAGGAGCGCUUUAGCGGUCUACUCCGCCACCAGGGGGCGGCGUUUCACCGCUGUAACGGCACACUCCGCCACUAGGGGUCACUGUUUCGCCCAAAACCAAAACUAAAUAUUAAAUAAUAAGAGUUACGAUAUGAAAUAAAACUUAAAAGAUAGAACGCUUCACGAAUUUGCGUGUCAUCCUUGCGCAGGGGCCAUGCUAAUCUUCUCUGUAUCGUUCCAAUUUUAGUAUAUGUGAUACCGAAGUAACACAAAUAUUGCCUGAUCCUGGGUUACUCAUAUACGUCCGCUCAGACACCGAAGGGUCUCUGUUGGUGUGGAGCAACAAAAGACCCAGACAGACUAACGCUGCAUUACCCGGCCGUAGCCGACCCACGCACCGCUCCACUACGUGGUGUGAGGAGAGAGGAUGUUAUGGGUAUGGUUGUUGAGACUAUUCUGGAAAGCCACCGCGCGAGGCACUCUGGGUAGGACAUGACGGGACUCUGGGCUGUGGGAUUGGUAGAGGC